AGAUGUGAGAUGAUCUGACUGCACCAUCUGUCACUCCAUAGAUCAUCAGGGACAAUUCAGUUGAUCUGACAGGGCUAGGCAUGAGUCUCCUUCCUCCUCUCCAUGUGUGUCCCCACUAAAGCAACAUACUUGGUUAAAGGAUGACCUUCAAAGAGGACUGGUCAUCAGUCAAGUGUGAAUGAGUAGCUUCAGUCCCCUGCUAGAACCUCCAAACAAGCUCUCAAACAGAUUUGGUCAGUGGACGCCACUUUAAGCUGGCUUCUAUGUCAUUUUGGUGUGUCCCCA
rnacentral:snRNA from 1 species